CUGCAGGACUCCCUGAAGUUUGGGAAUGUAUCAAUGUAUAUACAAAGAACACACUUCAAAUCAGGAAAAGUACUGUCAGAAAGGAAUAGACUGAAUAACUCUAGAACAUCAGACAGGGCUGGGAAUAAUUGUGCUCUACUGCCCAAAAGUUGCACUAAAAAUAUUCAGUGUCCAGGGUGGUAAUCAGUUAGAUCCUUCUAAGAUUUAUCUUCAUUUUAAUUUGGGAGGGUUCAGGAUAACUUUUCAUUGAGGGCAUUAAGUAGAUUGCUCAGAGGGUAUGACCUCAGUAAUAGGGCAGAAUUAGCCCUAAACUAAUAGUCUGGAGUCAGUACAGUUUGUCCUGAAUCCAAGUGACAUAUCUAUAUUUCCAGAACAAAGCCCAAGGUAUACAUAAAAGGUACAAAAAGGGCUGUGGCAGAGUGCAUGCUCACUGUGCGGGAGACCUGGGUUCAGUGCUUAACACUGUAAAAUGCAAAACAAAAACAGAGUAGCUUAUUGUGCCCAAAGUACCCUAAUAAAUUCUCAUGACAUUAGAGCUGGAGGUACAGCUGGAGCUCAGUAGUAGAGCCUUUGCCUAACAUGUGCAGGCCCCAGAUUCCAACCCCAGCUCCACAAAACAACAAAAACAAAAACAGUAAGAUUGGGUCAGGAUUGUGGUUCAGUGGUAGAGCACUUGCCUAGCAUGCGUGAAGCACUGGGUUCAGUCCCUGGCACCACAUAAAAAUAAAAACAAAUAAAAUAAAGGUUUGUGUCUAUCUUCAACUAAAAAAAAAAAAAAAAAAAAAAAAAAAAAAAAAAAAAAAAAAAAAAAAAAAAAAAAAAAAAAAAAAAGUAAGAUUCAGUGUUCAGCAUCUAAUAAAAUCUUCCCAGGCAUGGAAUUGAACCAAGAUAACUAUGUUGCAGAUGUUUAAAAUGUAGAGGAAAAUAUGAACAUAAUAAUGAAUGAAACGAAAGCUGUAGAAAUACUGAAAUAGAAUUUCUAGACGUGAAAAUGCAAUAUAUGAAAGGAAAAAUGCAAUAGAGAGAUGGACAGCAGAUUAGUACUAAAGAAGAAAAAAUUAGUGAGUGAACAUCAAGACAUAGCAAUAGAAACUACCCAAAAUAAAGCAUAGAGAAGACUGUGUGAAAUAUUGAGCUUUGACCUGUGGGACAAAAUCAGUUAGUCUAAGAUAGGAUAACCGUCCAGGUGCACACCUGUAAUCCCAGCAGCUCGGGAGGCUGAGACAGGAGGAUCUGUGGUAAGCCAUUCUUAUAGACCGUGGCCGCCAUUAGAAGAUGGCGCCGGCUUCCACUGUGGCCUGUGAUAAACAACUCCUUUUUUGGAGAGUUGGCGCGCAAUCCCUUACCACCCUAUGAGAGAGAUCCACGUGGCAGCUUGGGAUUGGUAUGCGGGAGGCUUUAUUAGGCUGUGCUUGGGCGCUUGGGGGGCGGGUCGCUAGAAGAUGAUACUUGAAUCAAGGCCUGAAUAAACUGCUGAAAGAAGAAUCCUGUGUCGUGUUUUCCCUUGCCGGCGAGGGGUCGCGACAAUUGGAUCGAGAGUUCAAAGCCAACCUCAGCAACGGCAAAGCACUUAGCAACUCAGUGAAACCCUGCCUCUAAAUAAAAUACAAAGAAGAGCUGGGGAUAUGGCUCAGUGGUUGAGUGCCCCUGAGUUCAAACACCAGUACUCCCUCUGCUGCCCCCUCCCAAAAAAAAUUAGGGUAACUGAAUGCCCAGAGGGAGAGGAGGAGAGAAUAGAGAUAAUAUUUUAAGAAAUAAUGGCUGAAAAUGUCCAUAGUUCCUGGAGAAAACUG
rnacentral:lncRNA from 1 species